rnacentral:rRNA from 1 species
GAUGAACGCUGGCGGCGUGCCUAAUACAUGCAAGUCGAGCGAACGGACGAGAAGCUUGCUUCUCUGAUGUUAGCGGCGGACGGGUGAGUAACACGUGGAUAGCCUACCUAUAAGACUGGGAUAACUUCGGGAAACCGGAGCUAAUACCGGAUAAUAUUUUGAACCGCAUGGUUCAAAAGUGAAAGACGGUCUUGCUGUCACUUAUAGAUGGAUCCGCGCUGCAUUAGCUAGUUGGUAAGGUAACGGCUUACCAAGGCAACGAUGCAUAGCCGACCUGAGAGGGUGAUCGGCCACACUGGAACUAAGACACGGUCCAGACUCCUACGGGAGGCAGCAGUAGGGAAUCUUCCGCAAUGGGCGAAAGCCUGACGGAGCAACGCCGCGUGAGUGAUGAAGGUCUUCGGAUCGUAAAACUCUGUUAUUAGGGAAGAACAUAUGUGUAAGUAACUGUGCACAUCUUGACGGUACCUAAUCAGAAAGCCACGGCUAACUACGUG